GACAGAGGGUGCAAACGUUGUUCGGAAUUACUGGGCGUAAAGCGCGUGUAGGCGGCCCUGCAAGUCGGAUGUGAAAUCCCACGGCUCAACCGUGGAAGUGCAUUCGAAACUGCAGGGCUAGAGUCCUGGAGAGGAAGGUGGAAUGCUUGGUGUAGAGGUGAAAUGCGUAGAGAUCGGGAGGAAGGCCGGUGGCGAAGGCGGCGCUCUGGAACGUUUCUGACGCUGAGGCUCGAAAGCGUGGGGAGCAAACAGG
rnacentral:rRNA from 1 species